rnacentral:lncRNA from 1 species
GUCAGAGAUGGAGGCUGGGGAGGUUCUUGACUCAGAAGGAAUGAUGACAUUCCCAUGAGGUAUCCCAGGGCCAGUCCUCAUUGGGAAGUCUGCUUAUUCCUGGAUCUGUGCGAGGCCAAAGAAGCAUCUUUGACAAUGACUGUGGGAGAGAAGACCUCUCCUUUGGGAGAAAAGACUCUCCUCCUGACAGUAAGGGAUAUCUGGAAGGUUUCUCUGUAAGUUAGACUAUUAAAGGC